UGUUGGUCAACUGUGUGCCUUAAGUAUAGC
rnacentral:piRNA from 1 species